UAAUGACAGAACUGACGAU
rnacentral:misc_RNA from 1 species